UGGAAGUAAAAGUCGUAACAAGGUCUCCGUUGGUGAACCAGCGGAGGGAUCAUUACCGAGUUUACAACUCCCAAACCCAAUGUGAACGUUACCAAACUGUUGCCUCGGCGGGAUCUCUGCCCCGGGUGCGUCGCAGCCCCGGACCAAGGCGCCCGCCGGAGGACCAACCAAAACUCUUAUUGUAUACCCCCUCGCGGGUUUUUUUAUAAUCUGAGCCUUCUCGGCGCCUCUCGUAGGCGUUUCGAAAAUGAAUCAAAACUUUCAACAACGGAUCUCUUGGUUCUGGCAUCGAUGAAGAACGCAGCGAAAUGCGAUAAGUAAUGUGAAUUGCAGAAUUCAGUGAAUCAUCGAAUCUUUGAACGCACAUUGCGCCCGCCAGUAUUCUGGCGGGCAUGCCUGUCCGAGCGUCAUUUCAACCCUCGAACCCCUCCGGGGGGUCGGCGUUGGGGAUCGGCCCUCCCUUAGCGGGUGGCCGUCUCCGAAAUACAGUGGCGGUCUCGCCGCAGCCUCUCCUGCGCAGUAGUUUGCACACUCGCAUCGGGAGCGCGGCGCGUCCACAGCCGUUAAACACCCAACUUCUGAAAUGUUGACCUCGGAUCAGGUAGGAAUACCCGCUGAACUUAAGCAUAUCAAAUAAGCGGAGG
rnacentral:rRNA from 1 species